rnacentral:lncRNA from 1 species
GGUCAUUUUUGUAGGACAAAUCAUGGAAAACAGUGUUAACUUUGUAUACAAAAUAGUGUAUGGAGAUUUAAGCACUUCACCACUCUAUGUAUACAAAAUAGCUUUUGAUGAAGACAUUCAACAUUCAAAGACAAAUGAAGAAAUCUAUGGAGUAAUGUCAUUUAUUUUCUGGACAAUAACACUGAUGAUAAUGGAGCAGGAGGAACUUUUGCACUCUAAUCAUUGCUAUGCCGGCACGCCGGAGUUAGCUUCUUGCCUGAUACUCAGAUUGCAGAUGAGGAUUUAACUGAGUACACAAUUGAUCAAAGUUCUGUGCUUGUAACAAGUACAAUGUUGGGUCUGGCUUGAAAAAUUUGUUUGAGAAACAUACAUUGCUCAGGAGGAUGCUGCUUGUUCUGACUUUGAUCACACCUGCAAUUUCUGGUAUGAAUAAUUUGGAGUCACUUUUUUGUAUUCAGAUGUUUUGAGAUUUGUUGGCAUUAUCCAACACGAAUCUAUUGAACGUGUCACCCUUGAAUACUCUGUAGUAUUUUAAUUUUAUUCUCAAUGGAGAAUCCUGCAACUCGAACCCAUAACUUACUUAUUUUUUUGUAUGUUUGUUGAAUUUAGUACAACUAGUAAAUUUGGUACUCGCAAAGCUUUAGGGUGAGUGUCAAAUUGGCACAUAGGAGUAUCAAUAAGAUGCCUCAAUAAAUCUAACCAACACAUAGUAAUGUCAUUGACUCACUUGAUAAAAAGCUCAUAACAUUGUUCUAAAACUUAUGAAAAUUAAACAUUAUAUGAAUAGCAUUGCUUCUACUGAUUAAACUCUGUUUUCUGGUUUCAAUUAUUGUUCAUGUGGCAGGUUACUCUUGCCAUGUUGCUUUUAUUUUCUGCAUCAAAAAAAUAAAUAGCUUAUGUUUGCAUUAGCAUAACAAAAUAAUGCAUCAUCUUUCUCUCUAAUGUCUUAAAAUAAUAACUAAUUUGAAAAACAAUCUACACUUUUUUUGCAGAAGAAUUUUAGAUAAAUAUAAGUUACAAUAACACAAACUUCAUCAAUAAAAAACAGAAUACAACAAUAAAUAACCAUAUAACAAUUUUAUUUUAGAUGCUUUUAAACAGAAAGUUCAAAAAUUAAAGAAUUUUACACUUAAACUCUGAAUUACAAAAUUAAAAAAAAAAGUAAUAUCCGAACCUUGAUGAGAAAAGAACAAGAAUAAAACAUUGUUCAUUUUCUUAAACAAAAAUAAAAGAUUCAGAGGGAUAAACCCCUUUUGUUUUCAGCCUUUCUGCGAACCAAAAGAUCUUCUAUUUACACUCCUUUCGGCUUUCUGGGAAAGGCUUUUUCAUAAUUAAAUUAACACAAAAUUCAAUAAAUCAAUUAAAAAAAUAAUCAAUUAUACUCAAAUACAACAAACAUGAAAAUAAAACCAAAAUGUCUGAAUAGAUUUAAGUACGAAACAUGACAUAAAGUAUUCCGUACUAUCAAACCUAUUCGGGGAUUUAACACUUUAGAAGUGUUAAAUCCAAAAAUCGAUAUUCGCCUCUGUCUGAACCACACGGGGUUAAAUUAACCGUGUGGUUAUUCGGAGGCGUAACAUAUAAAUAAAUGAUAAAUAAUAAUAAUGUGAAAGACUUCUUGAAGGACAAUAGAUUUAAGAUACCAUAAUGUCUUCUCAAAAUGUCUUUCUCUAUAAAUGAACCAAAAAUGAAUUUGAUUCAGAUUAAUAUGUGCCUCCUAACUAAGCCACAUAUGAAAUUGUUAUUUUCAUAGGACUACUCAAAGAGGCAACAUAAGAUAAAUAAGAUAAGAAUCAAAACAUUAUAAAUUGUUGAGAAACUGAACUAAGUGAAACUAACUUUGUUGAUGAAUUUGAUUCCUCUGCUUCACAAUGUCUCAGACGCCAAACAUGUCUCAUUGUUGGAAUUAAUAGGUAAAUUUUUAGGGUUGCAGCUGCUAACAAAACAUGGGCUUGAUGGGUUAUGGGUUAUGGGCCUGUUGACAG